rnacentral:rRNA from 1 species
UACAGAGGGUGCAAGCGUUGUUCGGAAUUAUUGGGCGUAAAGCGCGUGUAGGCGGCUUUGCAAGUCGGGUGUGAAAUCCCUCGGCUCAACCAAGGAAGUGCAUCCGAAACUGCAGAGCUUGAGUACCAAAGAGGAUCGCGGAAUUCCCGGUGUAGAGGUGAAAUUCGUAGAUAUCGGGAGGAACACCAGUGGCGAAGGCGGCGAUCUGGGUGGAUACUGACGCUGAGGUGCGAAAGCGUGGGGAGCAAACAGG